UCUUUAUUUACAGCACUUUCAUCUUUUUCAAAAUCUUACUGGCAAAUUCUGUUAACCAGAAUUUUUUUUGGCAUUGGCGAAUCGGCUUACACUACUGUUGCUCCAGCUAUCUUAGCGGAUUUGUACGUUGAAAGCGAACGAACUAUGAUACUCGCUUGGUUUUAUCUUCCAAUUUCGUGUGGGGGGGCUAUAGGUCUGGCUCUUGGGCGCUUCGUUAGCUCCCUAUUCAGCUGGAGGUGGGCUUUUAGAGUAAUUUUACUUUAAUUUCGAAGGAAAUUGAUUUUUAUCCUCACUUUAAUGAAAUUUUAUUUAUUUGGAUACAAAUCAUUUUUCAAAGAUUACUCCACUUGUUUCCUUUGGUUUAAUUAUUUUGGGAUAUUAUUUCA